rnacentral:rRNA from 1 species
GAUGAACGCUAGCGGCAGGCUUAACACAUGCAAGUCGAGGGGUAGGAGAAGCUUGCUUUUCUGAGACCGGCGCACGGGUGCGUAACGCGUAUGCAAUCUACCUUUCACAGAGGGAUAGCCCAGAGAAAUUUGGAUUAAUACCUCAUAGUAAUACGACUUGGCAUCAAGAUGUAUUUAAAGAUUUAUCGGUGAAAGAUGAGCAUGCGUCCCAUUAGCUAGUUGGUAUGGUAACGGCAUACCAAGGCAACGAUGGGUAGGGGUCCUGAGAGGGAGAUCCCCCACACUGGUACUGAGACACGGACCAGACUCCUACGGGAGGCAGCAGUGAGGAAUAUUGGACAAUGGGCGCAAGCCUGAUCCAGCCAUGCCGCGUGCAGGAUGACGGUCCUAUGGAUUGUAAACUGCUUUUAUACAGGAAGAAACCCCUCUACGUGUAGAGACUUGACGGUACUGUAAGAAUAAGGAUCGGCUAACUCCGUGCCAGCAGCCGCGGUAAUACGGAGGAUCCAAGCGUUAUCCGGAAUCAUUGGGUUUAAAGGGUCCGUAGGCGGUCAGGUAAGUCAGUGGUGAAAGCCCAUCGCUCAACGGUGGAACGGCCAUUGAUACUGUCUGACUUGAAUUAUUAGGAAGUAACUAGAAUAUGUAGUGUAGCGGUGAAAUGCUUAGAGAUUACAUGGAAUACCAAUUGCGAAGGCAGGUUACUACUAAUUGAUUGACGCUGAUGGACGAAAGCGUGGGUAGCGAACAGGAUUAGAUACCCUGGUAGUCCACGCCGUAAACGAUGGAUACUAGCUGUUGGGAGCAAUCUCAGUGGCUAAGCGAAAGUGAUAAGUAUCCCACCUGGGGAGUACGAACGCAAGUUUGAAACUCAAAGGAAUUGACGGGGGCCCGCACAAGCGGUGGAGCAUGUGGUUUAAUUCGAUGAUACGCGAGGAACCUUACCAAGGCUUAAAUGUAGAUUGACCGGUUGGAAACAGACU